UACGUAGGGUCCGAGCGUUGUCCGGAGUGACUGGGCGUAAAGCGCGCGCAGGCGGCCUGCGAGGUGUCCUGUGAAAGCCCCGUGCUCAACGCGGGAGGGUCAGGGCAACCGGCAGCUUGAGGCCGGUAGAGGUGGGUGGAACUCCUGGUGGAGUGGUGAAAUGCGUAGAGAUCAGGAAGAACACCCGUGGCGAAGGCGGCCCACUGGGCCGGACCUGACGCUGAGGCGCGAAGGCGUGGGGAGCGAACGGG
rnacentral:rRNA from 1 species